UAACACGUAGGUGACCACCCAAAGAGGGGGAUAACGGCCCGAAAGGGCUGCUAAUACCCCAUGUGAUUAGCGAUUCAUUUCGUUAAUGAAAGCUUCCGCAAGAGUGUGCUUUGGGAGGGGCCUGCGGCGGAUUAGAUUGUUGGUGGGGUAAUGGCCUACCAAGUCGAUGAUCCGUAGCUAGUCUGAGAGGAUGAUCAGCCACACUGGGACUGAGACACGGCCCAG
rnacentral:rRNA from 1 species